rnacentral:rRNA from 1 species
AGAGUUUGAUCCUGGCUCAGGACGAACGCUGGCGGCGUGCUUAACACAUGCAAGUCGAACGAGAAUCUACUGAAAGAGUUUUCGGACAAUGGAAGUAGAGGAAAGUGGCGGACGGGUGAGUAACGCGUGAGGAACCUGCCUUGAAGAGGGGGACAACAGUUGGAAACGACUGCUAAUACCGCAUGAAGCAUAGGGGUCGCAUGAUCUUUAUGCCAAAGAUUUAUCGCUUCAAGAUGGCCUCGCGUCUGAUUAGCUGGUUGGCGGGGUAACGGCCCACCAAGGCGACGAUCAGUAGCCGGACUGAGAGGUUGAACGGCCACAUUGGGACUGAGAUACGGCCCAGACUCCUACGGGAGGCAGCAGUGGGGAAUAUUGGGCAAUGGGCGCAAGCCUGACCCAGCAACGCCGCGUGAAGGAAGAAGGCUUUCGGGUUGUAAACUUCUUUUAAGAGGGAAGAGCAGAAGACGGUACCUCUAGAAUAAGCCACGGCUAACUACGUGCCAGCAGCCGCGGUAAUACGUAGGUGGCAAGCGUUGUCCGGAUUUACUGGGUGUAAAGGGCGUGCAGCCGGGUCUGCAAGUCAGAUGUGAAAUCCAUGGGCUCAACCCAUGAACUGCAUUUGAAACUGUAGAUCUUGAGUGUCGGAGGGGCAAUCGGAAUUCCUAGUGUAGCGGUGAAAUGCGUAGAUAUUAGGAGGAACACCAGUGGCGAAGGCGGAUUGCUGGACGAUAACUGACGGUGAGGCGCGAAAGUGUGGGGAGCAAACAGGAUUAGAUACCCUGGUAGUCCACACUGUAAACGAUGAAUACUAGGUGUGCGGGGACUGACCCCCUGCGUGCCGCAGUAAACACAAUAAGUAUUCCACCUGGGGAGUACGAUCGCAAGGUUGAAACUCAAAGGAAUUGACGGGGGCCCGCACAAGCGGUGGAUUAUGUGGUUUAAUUCGAAGCAACGCGAAGAACCUUACCAGGGCUUGACAUCCUACUAACGAAGUAGGCGAUUGAUCGAAGGACGCGGCUAUUCCGAGAAGAAAGUACGCGAAAUCAUGGCAAAUCAGCUCUCCGAGGAUGAAUUCAGCAGCCACUGCGAUUUUGAGAUCGACAACAGCGGCGAUUUUGAGGAAACAAAAAAACAGUUAGACCAUAGGAUGAAAAAAUAUGAAACUUUGUAGUAUUGCAAGUGGUUCGAGCGGAAACUGCAUUUUCGCGGGAAGCGAGACCACAAGCCUUCUGAUCGAUGCGGGCAUCAGCGGAAAGCGCGUGGAGGCGGGGCUGGCUGUUCUCGACCGCAGCGCGAAGGAGCUGGACGGCAUUCUCGUGACACAUGAGCAUUCCGAUCA